rnacentral:rRNA from 1 species
UACGGGGGGGGCAAGCGUUGUUCGGAAUUACUGGGCGUAAAGCGCACGUAGGCGGCUUUUUAAGUCAGAGGUGAAAUCCCGGGGCUCAACCCCGGAAUUGCCUUUGAAACUGGAGAUCUAGAAUCUUGGAGGGGCGAGUGGAAUUCCGAGUGUAGAGGUGAAAUUCGUAGAUAUUCGGAAGAACACCAGUGGCGAAGGCGACUCGCUGGACAAGUAUUGACGCUGAGGUGCGAAAGCGUGGGGAGCAAACAGG